rnacentral:misc_RNA from 1 species
AUGCGACAUGAGGGCAGAAUAACGCUAGCGUUGCGGCUUUUAGGACGGAGUUGGUGCACCCGCAACCCGAGUGCGAUAGAGCGGGACAGCCGGGUUGUUCAAACCGGGUUGAUCCAUUAGAGGCCUUGUGAGACAGCAACCGAGCUUCGGUGCUGUCCGCAAGCGUAACGCUGGAGAACACACGGUUUCGGCGGCCGUGCGAGUUACUUGUCUUCGAAGGUGCACGGCUUGGUUCCCAAGCAGCUGCUCCCUGCUCGUUGAAUUAGCACAGCCGUGGUACACGGGUGUCGUGUCUUUCCACCACAGCACGGCUGCUAAGCACCGGCACUCGUCGCAAAGUUCCGCUAUAGACUGCGACCGCGCCUAACGCGCUCCGACCUUGAUAGCUCGAAAGCGUCCACGAAUUCGUAGGGAGCGAGCCUGGAACGGAGUGCUGGUCUUCAGCGGAACUAACUGCAAAGCUACGUCUUGCACUGCAGCUACGUCCAGCGAGCGUUGACCAGGACCGCUCAGACGCCUACAGCGAAUCAUAGAAAGCGGGCCAGAAACUAGUUUCUGUGCAGAAAAGACCUCGGACGUGUCAGCAGAGAGCCGGACUCCUCAGAUCUGCAGACUCGGGUGGCCUGCGCAAGUCGUCGCCGCAGUAACGGUGACUGGACGCCGGUCCAGAAACUUUUGAGCCGCGUGACGCCAAAGUACACCCAUGGUUACUUCAUGCGGCAGAGCUGCACGCCUGCGAGCGUGCUCCCGGAUGUGCCAGCAACUGGAGCUCGAAGACGGCAGCAGUGUCCCGUUGAAACAAUGGCAACCACAGCCUGCAUACCAACGAGACGCUGAGCAGAAGGUCUCCAUAUAUCGCCAAAGCCACUGCAUGCUGCUGUGUCUGUUUCGAGGUGCGCACUCAACGCCAUGCGGAAGCAGCUCAUCGGCCGAGCAACCGCCUCCGACAGAUACUGCUUCUCGAGGAGCCGAGCAGCAACACUAGUCGACAGCGACCGGUGCUGGGGAGGCCUCGGUCACCCAUGCACUUCCGGACGCUCUUGUUCUUCGACUCAACUGCGCACAUGUUGUACCAGCCGCUUACUGAUGCUGGCGCGCGCAUAGAGCACGUUGCUGGUGCUUCAGGGUGCAUGACUAAACUGAAUCACCGCGCGGGGAUGUUAACGGCGAGAUCGAUUUUCCCGCGGUGGUGCUACUGUAGCGCCUGCUCGCAGCAGCAACAGCAGCAUCAAAAGCUGCAGUCAUGCCGGUACAUGGUGCACUGUUUACUGCGUGCGCGUUGCGCAAGCAGAGUCCUCUAUAUCCCGAAAUUGUGUUUCGCGCAGUCUCAUCACAGGCAGUUUGUUGGCUUCGAGCGCGCUUCAUCGAGUCCCGAGUUGGUAUCACAAAUAAAGAAACUUUCGAAUGGUGUCUUAGUCGUUGCAGUAGAUGCAAACGAUCGCGUGAUGCCUUUCGUGCAGCACUCUUGCGGUCGCGAAUGCCGAUGCCGGGGUUUGCUGUGUCGGCGUCUAUGGCGUGCACGCACUCGCAGCAAUAAGUACACAUGCGGGAGCUUUUGUAUCGCCAGUAAAAUGGACAACAUUUCA